AGUAACGGCGAGUGAAGCGGCAACAGCUCAAAUUUGAAAUCUGCCCGCCAGGGCCGAGUUGUAAUUUGUAGAGGAUGUUUUGGGUACCGCCACGGUUUAAUUUUCUUGGAACAGGAAGCCAAAGAGGGUGAGAGU
rnacentral:rRNA from 1 species